GUCCCUUCGGGGACAUCCGAUAAAAUUAGAAUGAUACAGAGAAGAUUAGCACGGCCCCUGCGCAAAGAUGAUACACAUAAAUCGAGAAAUUGUCCAACUUUUU
rnacentral:snRNA from 1 species